GGCAACGCGGCCGCUUGCAGGGCUGCAGGCAGUUAUUUUAAAAGGGCGGUGUGGAGUCACGUGACCGUGCAUCAGGUCACCGUGGCCGUCUUCGGCAGCAGAGUGCGGGCCAGGUCAGGCCGGGCCACUGCAGAGGCAGAGAGAGGUCUCUGGCCACUGGAAGCAGCAGAAUAAAGGCCGGGCCAGAGUGAGGUCUCUGGCCACUGGAGGAGGCGGCAGAGUGAGUGAGGCCAGGCUUGCGGCCGCGUUACUUCAGGCAAACUUAUCCCACUACCACCCUUACUACUCUUCUUAAUGAUGUUCCAAACAGUUGAUUUUGGUAAGCCUAAGAUUCUGCUCAACCCAUUGUGUUCUUCAAGUGGAUUGUUUGUAUCACCAAUGAUGAAUAAUUCUGAUAUUUAGUUGACACUGAUAGUAGCCAAGAGUACAACAGGUUAAAGAAGAGGAGGAUUGUCUCAAACCCAGAUAAGUAGACAGUGCGGUCUGGCAUACACAUGAUUCAACUUCCUUCAUUCUCACUUCCCAAUGGAACUGUGCGUGCGUUCAUCACAUGGACAGCAGCAGUCCAAGCAGUUUGUUCAGCAUCACUUUUGCAGGAACCAUUGCUGAUAGGGAUUAAGUAUUGGUCUUGCCAACAAGACCCAAAACAUAUACAUGAAUAAAAUAAUACAUAUAAUCCUUGGACAAUAUAAUUUAUUGUAAAAUCGUGAUUAAUACUCCUUGAUUUAUUAAAUUAAUUUUAUGACAUUCCUAAAUACCAUAUUCAAUGAAAUGCUACCUUGAAAUCAUAAUCACCUUCGCCUAAAUUUGUAAAUGCUAGUCUUUUGCCAAUGUUUGGACCAAGGCUGUGGUGUGUUAUGGGGCUGAGAGGGCCAGAUUUUCCCAAUGUUGUUGCAACAUGGACAAUUAGACUGAGGUGGAGGUAUAAAUAGUUCAUCCUUAAUUGAAGCCAGUAACACCCAACUAAACUGCAAUGUCUGUCAGAACAACAGGUCAAUAUCAAGUCAAACUUCAAAGUAGCAUUGUAUCAAACAAACCACUUGGUCUUCUAUUUAUGAAACUGUAAUCAUAAAGAAUUCUACAGCUAAAGUGUAAACCAAACAUGAGCAGGGUGUUUUGUUAUUUGCAAGAAAGUUCUUUGAUUUUGUAAUUAUCAGAGGAGGUGUUACAGAACUGAUGUGAUAGAGCUAUCUCUUUGCUGAAGUGGCUCAUCCCAUGCAGUGAAUGUUGAUGCAAUCAGUUAUCUGUUUGUUUUUUGUUUAGAAAGGUUGUGAACAAAACCAGACCAAAUCUGUAUGGUUAUUAAUUUUAGUAGAUAUAAAUUAUUGGUGGAAGAAAGAGGUAGGAAAUGGUGCAAUAGAGAUAAUGGCAUACAAUGGGCAAAUCUCCAGAUAGCCACAAAAUGCUGGAGUAACUCAGUGGGACAGGCUACAUCUCAGGAGAGAAGGAAUGGGUGACAUUUCAAGUAGAGACCCUUCUUCAGACCAGGAUGUGCUGACCUGCGGGGAACAAGAUGUCGCCUGAGGACUUCAAUGGCUGUGAUAUUUCUGACCGCUUUUGCCAAAUAAAUAAAUUGCUUAUUGAAAGAACAUAUAUGAAGUUUGACAGCCAAGGAUUGAGGUAUCAGGCUAAGCACAUGAAAGAAAUAAAAACAAAUGGGAAGACAGGCAAGCAGAGUCAAAUCGAUGAUGAUGUUACCAGGUUUUUGGAUGGA